GAUGAACGCUAGCGGCAGGCCUAAUACAUGCAAGUCGAACGGGAUCUGAGGGUAGCUUGCUACCCGAUUUGAGAGUGGCGCACGGGUGCGUAACGCGUGAGCAACCUACCCAUAUCAGGGGGAUAGCCCGAAGAAAUUCGGAUUAACACCGCAUAAUAAUACGCUAACACAUGCUGAUGUAUUUAAAUAUUUAUAGGAUAUGGAUGGGCUCGCGUGACAUUAGCUAGUUGGUAAGGUGACGGCUUACCAAGGCGACGAUGUCUAGGGGCUCUGAGAGGAGAAUCCCCUACACUGGUACUGAGACACGGACCAGACUCCUACGGGAGGCAGCAGUAAGGAAUAUUGGUCAAUGGGCGCAAGCCUGAACCAGCCAUGCCGCGUGCAGGAUGACUGCCCUAUGGGUUGUAAACUGCUUUUGUUAGGGAAUAAACCUUCUUACGUGUAAGGAGCUGAAUGUACCUAAAGAAUAAGGAUCGGCUAACUCCGUGCCAGCAGCCGCGGUAA
rnacentral:rRNA from 1 species